rnacentral:rRNA from 1 species
CGUGGGAACCUACCUAGUGGUACGGAAUAACUCGGGAACCCGUGCUAAUACCGUAUGUGCCCGAAAGGGAAGAUUUAUCGCCAUUAGAUGGGCCCGCGUCGGAUUAGCUUGUUGGUGAGGUAAUGGCUCACCAAGGCGACGAUCCGUAGCUGGUCUGAGAGGAUGAUCAGCCACACUGGGGCUGAGACACGGCCCAGACUCCUACGGGAGGCAGCAGUGGGGGAUAUUGGACAAUGGGCGCAAGCCUGAUCCAGCCAUGCCGCGUGAGUGACGAAGGCCUUAGGGUUGUAAAGCUCUUUU